GAUGAACGCUGGCGGCGUGCCUAAUACAUGCAAGUCGAGCGAACAGACGAGGAUCUUGCUCCUCUGACGUUAGCGGCGGACGGGUGAGUAACACGUGUAUAACCUACCUAUAAUACUGGGAUAAUUUCGGGAAACCGGAGCUAAUACCGUAUAAUAUAUUGAACCGCAUGGUUCAAUAGUGAAAGACGGUUUUGCUGUCACUUAUAGAUGGAUCCGCGCCGCAUUAGCUAGUUGGGAAGGUAAAGGCUUACCAAGGCAACGAUGCGUAGCCGACCUGAGAGGGUGAUAGGCGACCCUGGAACGGAGACACGGUCAAGACUCCUACGGGACGCAGCAGUAGGGAAUCGUACGCAAUGGGGGAAAGCCUGACGGAGCAAGGCGGCGUGAGUGAUGAAGGUCUUCGGAUCGUAAAACUCUGUUAUUAGGGAAGAACAAAUGUGUAAGUAACUAUGCACGUAUUGACGGUACCUAAUCAGAAAGCCACGGCUAACUACGUG
rnacentral:rRNA from 1 species